rnacentral:rRNA from 1 species
CAAAUGAAUUGACGGGACCCCGCACAAGCGGUGGAUCAUGUGUUAAUUCGAUGAUACGCGAAGAACCUUACCAGGUCUUGACAUCCCAUGCAAAGCUAUAGAGAUAUAGUGGAGGUUACCAUGGAGACAGGUGGUGCAUGGUUGUCGUCAGCUCGUGUCGUGAGAUGUUGGGUUAAGUCCCGCAACGAGCGCAACCCUUGUCAUUAGUUGCUACAUUCAGUUGGGCACUCUAAUGAGACUGCCGGUGACAAGCCGGAGGAAGGUGGGGAUGACGUCAAGUCCUCAUGGCCCUUAUAGGUGGGGCUACACACGUCAUACAAUGGCUGGUACAAAGGGUUGCCAACCCGCGAGGGGGAGCUAAUCCCAUAAAGCCAGUCGUAGUCCGGAUCGUAGUCUGCAACUCGACUACGUGAAGUCGGAAUCGCUAGUAAUCGUGGAUCAGAAUGUCACGGUGAAUACGUUCCCGGGUCUU